rnacentral:rRNA from 1 species
GAGAAUGCGACUUAAUUUAGAUUAGAUCUAAAUAUAUUAGAAUUGGGGUAAUUUUAAUUUAAAAUUUAUUGGGUGAAAUUUUAAAUUUUAAUAAGAUUAAUCGGGGAAUUAAAUUAUUUGGGAAACUUUUUUAAUAAACUAGGAUUAGAUACCCUAUUAUUGAAAGCUUAAAUAAAAGUCUAAAUGAGUAAUAGUUAUGUUCUUGAAAAUUAAAGAAUUUGGCGGUAUUUUAGUCCAUUCAGAGGAACCUGUCCUGUAAUUGACGAUCCACGAUAAGUUCAACUUUUUUUGAAUAGUUUAUAUAUCGUCGUAGUUUGGGUAUUUUUGUAGAAAUUUAAUGUUCAAGAUUCAUUUUUUGAAGGAAUUCAGAUCAAGGUAUAGCUUAUAGAAAAGUAGAGAUGGGUUACAUUGGCCUUAGCUUAGGAUAACUCAAUUUAAAGUUGGUUUGAAUUUGGAUUUGAAAGUAAUUUUUUUUUAUUUGGAAAAAUGAUUUUGGCUCUAAAAUAUGCACAUAUCGCCCGUCGCUUCCUCUUGAAGGUGGAAUAAGUCGUAACAAAGUAGUUUUACUGGAAAGUGAGGCUAGAGUGCAAGUGAGAGCUUGCUAUAAAGCGUUUUACUUACACUAAAAAGAUAAUUGUUGGAAUCAGUUUUACUUGAUUAGUCACGAUUAUUAAUUUUUAGGAUUUAUUUGAAGUUAAGGAAAAAAAUUGGGGUAAUUUAGUAAAUUUGUAGAAAAAUUUAGAUUAAUAAUAGAGAAUGAGUAUUGAGAAAGAAAUUUUUAAUAAAAUGGGAAGAAAAAUUAUUUUU